CGCCCACUGCCACGCCUCCAGCCAAUAGUGUCGUGCAGGGGCAGUUUGAGGCCACGCCCCUGGUCACUCCCCACUCGACAGGCGCCCCCUGGCGGGGGUCCCGCGGGACAGACCGGCCGCCAAAAAUCCCAAACCGGGCAAAAAGUUAUCCCGGUUUCCUUCCAAGGGAAACUGCUGGAGCUGAACCGAGCAUGGAGAGGUGUCCGGGGAGACCUUAGAGCCCCUUCCAGUGCUCAGACACACAGGAACAAACGCUGGGAAGUUGGGAAUGGGAUGGAAGAGGGUUUAGAGAAAAGCAGCAAUGUCCCAGUUUGAACUCCAGCCAAGAGGAAGCUCCUCCCAGGGUCCAUCACUGCCACUCCUUCUGCUCACCCAGAACCACAGAAUCAAGGUUGGAAAAGCC